UACAGAGGUCUCAAGCGUUUGUUCGGAAUCACUGGGCGUAAAGGGUGCGUAGGCUGCGGAGAAAGUCUGGUGUGAAAUUUGCGAGCUCAACUCGCAACUAGCACCUGAUACUACUUUGCUUGGAGAUCUGGAGAGGAGCUUGGAAUUCUCGGUGUAGCAGUGAAAUGCGUAGAUUUCGAGAAGAACGCUCGCUGCGAAAGCGAAGCUCUGGCCAGAUUCUGACGCUGAGGCACGAAGGCUAGGGGAGCAAACGGG
rnacentral:rRNA from 1 species